AGCGAACGCUGGCGGCGUACUUAACACAUGCAAGUCGAACGAGGAUCGCCUGUGUAGCAAUACAUAGGCGGUUCUAGUGGCGUACGGGUGAGUAACACGUGGGCAACCUGCCCUUGAGUCCGGGAUACCCUCUCGAAAGGGAGGCUAAUACUGGAUACGUUCCUCGGGUCGCGAGAUCUGGGGAGGAAAGGUGGCGAAAGCUGCCGCUCUUGGAGGGGCUUGCGGCCUANCAGCUAGUUGGUGAGGUAAUGGCUCACCAAGGCUAUGACGGGUAGCUGGUCUGAGAGGACGACCAGCCACACGGGAACUGAGACACGGUCCGACUCCUACGGGAGGCAGCAGUGGGGAAUUUUCCGCAAUGGGCGAAAGCCUGACGGAGUGACGCCGCGUGGGGGACGAAGGCCUCGGUUGUAACCC
rnacentral:rRNA from 1 species